GUCCAUGCCGUAAACGAUGUCAACUAGCCGUUGGGCUCCUUGAGGGCUUAGUGGCGCAGCUAACGCGAUAAGUUGACCGCCUGGGGAGUACGGUCGCAAGACUAAAACUCAAAUGAAUUGACGGGGCCCGCACAAGCGGUGGAGCAUGUGGUUUAAUUCGAUGCAACGCGAAGAACCUUACCUGGCCUUGACAUGUCCGGAAUUCUGCAGAGAUGCGGGAGUGCCUUCGGAAUCGGACACAGGUGCUGCAUGGCUGUCGU
rnacentral:rRNA from 1 species